AGUUAAUGAGCUUGAAAUAAGCAUGUGUUUUGAAAACACAAGAUAGAAACCAAAUUUUUCUAUUAACUU
rnacentral:tRNA from 1 species